GGAGAGCGGCCGCGGCACGGCACGGCACGGCACGGCCGCAGUGUGCCCUAGCCCGACCCCCGCCCCCGCUGUGAGCCCCCUCCGACACCGUCACUGGGGCUUAGAAGGCGUUUCUGCCCCGCCGGAGCGGCCGGGGAGUUCCGGCAGCGGGGCUUCGGGAACAGCGGAGGAUGCUGUCGGACUUGGAGUUAAAGUCAGUUCCUGAUGGAACAGGAUUAUGUCCUGCCGCUUGCUACAGGUAUUGCUGCACUUAGUCCUCAUUCAUGCGAGUAAAGCCAUUACAGUGCGAGAGGCUUCUUUUGCAGUCAGAACCACAGUAAUGAAGCCUCACGCCACUGUCCCUGGGACUUGAACUCCAUUUGGAUCUGCAAGUGUCGGCUCCAAAGUGGAACUGACUGAAAGUUUGGAGCUCACAUGUGGAAUGGCAAGCCCCUCCUGCCUGCUCGCAGGAUCUUUACAGUAGUCAGGUAAGUGUUGUGCAAGCAAGAUUGAACUGAAACUGAUUCUUUGGCUUUUACCCAGUCAUCGUUCCUGGAAGGAGAUUUCAAGCAACAAGUGCAAGAUGUUUCUACGUGGCAAAAUAUUCUGAUAUGCCUAUACACAUAACUGUACCCCUAGACUUAGGCCAGUAAAUUUUGACAUGUAUAGGCAGUUCUGGUAUGACUUUAAACUCAUUUUAAAGUCCAGGAACACUGAGGCCUGGAGGACUUAAGGCCCUGAGAGUUUUACCAGAUGAACAGUUGUCCUGCCCACCCAAGUGCAUUGUGAGUCUGAAGACACAGAAGAGGAGUAACUUGCCCAAGAUCACAGAAGGAGCAUGACAGCAGCAGUAAAAAAUGCCCAGGUCUAUGCCUGUGAAGGUAUCAGCUCUUCUUUCCUACUUCAUAAUCUAAAAUUCAUCGAUUUCAUUGCCACAUAUGCCGCAUAAAUACCACAUAUAUUGCAAACAGGUGAAUUGUACCAUGUUGUUAGGUAUUAUGCUACAAUAAUAGUAGAGGAACUCCCACACAGGAUGAUGCCAUAAUAUUGAUGGGGAAAGCCUUGAAUAAAAUUACUCUUUUACUGCUUAAAUUUUGAACCUUGAAUGAUUCAAGAUGAGUGAACUUCGGUAAUCAGCUUUAAUGCACUGUACACAACUGCACUUAGCAAGUAAACUUUUCUUUUUAUGUGCAAUCACAGAUAUAGUGCAGCACUGGGCUGCAGAUACAACUGGUAGAGUUUAUCUCAAGACAAACUGAAACGUCUUUAAAUUUUGGCACUGUAAUGAAGGCAUUUGCGAGCAAAGUACAGGAGAAACAUGAAACUGAUACUGGGUUUUGUACUGUGGUAUUGUUUAAUCUGGAUCCAGGUGUCCUGGAUCAAGAGUAGUGAAUGCAGCAGUAGUACCUGCCCCAAGAGCUUGGCAGUCUCAGUGAUCCAGUCUCACACAGAGAAAAACAUGGAAAAGGCCUUUCAUGUGCCUGAGCUCUGCUCUGAUGUGCUCUGCGGGCUGACUUGGCGGGCACAAGCUCCAUCCACUGGAUCCUGGUUGCUGAAGUAUCAAUUCAUGAUUCACACUAAACAGAUAUGACAAGGAGAUAAUUAGGGAAGCACUGCAGUUUGUCAGAUGUCUUGUUAGAACCACGUUUUUACUGCUUUUUUUGUUGUUGUUAGGGUUGACCGGUUGGUUGGCUUUAGCAUGAGAGAAUUAAAUUAUUUUCUACUUACGUUGAGGCUUGUGGAGGAUCACAUUAAUAUGCUGCUUUCCCUAAAAAAGGCUAUGAAACAGCCUAGGAGAGUCUUUCUCCGAUGUUUAAUAACCAGAGUGGUUGUCCUGGAGAGGGCUGGGUAGCCUGGCUUCAGACAGAGCAGUGGUGUGAGAAGGCCAGGGGAAAAGGCAGAAACAGUGUGCCCUGGUCAUAUCUGCCUCGAGGCUUCCCUGGCUGGGCUGUUCUGGCACACUGGCCAGAACAAAACUUCAAGUCUGCCCCCUGCUUUAGGAUGUGCAGGUGGAGCUGACUGUCCAAACCCAUUACUCUGUGGGUGAGCAGCAUCAGCAGUGUCUUAGUGCACACUCACCACUUCUAACUCCACUGGCUACUUUAAUACCCUGAAUCAUUAACUUCUUCUUGCCUUUUCUGAAUAACAUUAGAAAACUGAAAAAAGGAGAUCAGAGAGGUAUGUAUACCUGGGUAUCAACCUUGAUGCUCCUCUGCACUGGGCUGAAUAACUGUGCUAUCUCAAAAGGCAACAGAGAAUGGGUUUGUUCUCUUUUUGCUCUGCAGCUACAUGAUCAUUCAGACUAGUGCAAGGAAAACAGGCCGUGAGGCUGGGGCAAUGAAGAAAGAGAAGAACCAUUCCUUGUGUAAACUGCCUGGCUUUUCAUCAGAUUAGGUGCACAAUCUGAUGGCACCAUCAGUCAUAAGGCCUGUGGACCUGAAUUUUAAUGAGUUGGGGCACUUACACAGAUAAAUGUCUAAUAUGAGUCUCAAAGAAAACUUUAAUCUCACAGACACUUUCUAACAUCUCACCAAGCACCUGCCCAAUCGCCUUUAAAAUCUGUGUCUCGGAAACUGAUUAUCAGAAGGCUGAGUUCUAAAAGACAUUCAUUAUGCUGCAUAUUUUAGACUAUUCAAUUAUGUAACAAGCAUUUAAGAAAUACUACUACUACUACUAAUACUGUGGCUACAACAACUAUUGGCUUUUGAUCUUCCUCCAAAAUCCAAGUUUGUAGGUAGGUUAUGAUUUGGUAUUUCUUGCUAACUUCAGCCAGGCUUCAUCUGACUUAAUCAAGAAGUCCCAGGGAUAGUGACUGUCUUCUGGAGACAGUUUAGCUCCAAAGUCAGUAACUUUGCUUUACCUUCAUGUACACUAGGUUUCUGCCAGAAAUUACGAGUUUCAUGGAUAAUUAAAUAAUAUCAAACAGACAACUUAUUAUUUACAUUAAAAUCACUGGAGUAAUUUUCUUUUCAGCCAUUACACUUUUUGUUGCCCUAGUGUGGGAAAAUACCAACAAUAUUUUCAGAGUGAAGAGGCAGUUCUCUCAAGAAGAAUAAUAGCUUCCUAAGGAUACUAGAUUUCAUUAUUUCCUUCUUUCUUGGGCUGGGUGAUGAAAUUUAUCACCCUCUGUCCUUCAUGACUUGUCUGCUUGUCUUUGAGUAGGUGAGGUAUUAAACAAGACUCCUACCUCAGCAUUAUUAACAUAGGAUAUGCAGACUGCUUAGCAACUGCAUAGAUCUAUUUGGGAACAGUGCCUCAGGCAGAAGACAGCAUGUGGGAGAAGGUGAGGAGCAUUUUUAGGAGGUCAUCAUAACUGUGCAGCACUGCAUAUGGUUUUCCAAGUCCAUCUGGAUACAAGGUCAUGUAUAGCCACAGUACAAGCCCAGGAAAAAAGGAACUAAGUUGUAAAAGGCCUUGAAGGCAACACUUGUGACUUGAGAGCUCUCUGUAGUCUUGCUCUGGGAGUCUGGCCAUUUUCUAGAAUGAGCCUUGCAUGAGUUUGACUCUAUAUAGAGUCAAAUAUCUGCUUGGGACCUGCCUUAGUAUUGUGACUCACUGUCAUAGGCAAAAGAACAAAGAAUUCAUUUCAUUCUCAGAAGUUCUUCCUAAACUGGCCCACUGCGAUUAAGUGGGAUUUACAUAGAAUAAAUGUGGAACUUGAUAAUUUUACAAGGUUAUUAUGUGUAUACCUCUGUUAUAUUAAAUAAGGCUUCUGCCAUAAAUAUAUCUGCAGAUACCAGAAAGGUCUUCGAUCAGAUUGAGUAGUCAUUCAUCUUUUCCACCAUUGGGAUGAUGGGAAUCAGACCUAAAUUCAUUAUUUUCUUAAGAUUAAUGUGCCCAGCUAAAGCUGCCAAGAUCGUUAUUAAAAGUUACAAUUCCAAAAGGUUUGGGCUGAAACAAAGUAUUAAGCAAGGCACUCCCUUAUCUCCUUUAUUGGUGGUUUUCUCAUCAGACUCUGAUGUAAGGACUUUCCUCCAGCAAUGUUACAUUUCUGGUAAAGAAGGGAGGUUGCCCUCUGUUCUGACAGCUCAUCACGUGCUUUCACGAAGCACAGCAUUCCUGCCCACUGCACUGCACCAGUACUGUACUUUCUAGAGAAUGGAAUUCUCCCUUUGGAUCUUGCCUGAAUCCACAUAGAAGCUUUUGAAAGUAGUUUCACUUUCUCCUGGCUAUCACCUCAUCGAGGGAUAAUGGACUCGGUGCAAUCAAACAUUAUUGGUUCUUUGAAAAUUAAAUUUCUCUUCAGUCAUUCAGCUUAAAAAGAUUUACAUAACUGGAAUAACCUAGCUCUGUUGCUGGUUUCUUGGAAGACACUGCUAAGAUUAAUCUUAUCUCCCACUUUAAUUACUGUUUUCAAGUUCUUACAGUCCUUGUCCCAGUUACAUCUUGUUGCGAAAACCACCAGAGAAUGAUAUAUUAAAAUUUAUUCAGACAGGUGGCAGAGACAAAAUUAAAGCUAAUAACUCUAUGAGAAAAGAAAUCAAAGGUGGUUUGGCAAUCCUGAGGUGUUAUUUCUUGGUCCCUCAGUUGCAGUGGCUGCACAAGCAGGGUCCAAAUGCCUGGGCUGUGUGAGUGGCUGUGGGCCACAGCUUUGCUGUGCAGGACUCGGGACUGCCACGGUCCCACAAGUGCACUAACAUCCAUGGGAUAAGGAGCCUUGGAGCAGGACUGCUUGUGGAAAAACAAUGGUAAGUGUCUCAUUAGAGGGUUCUGUCUCAUUUAUACCCAAAGAGGAGACUACUAUAUCACACCACUGGAGGACUAAUGAAAUUACACAUACGGCAUCUGAAUGCAUCCCUUCACUUCUGUGUUCUUUGUUGACAUUUUGUGACAAAAUACUCAGCCCACUUUAUAUAAGGAUUAAAAACGUAAAAGGAGAAGGCUCUGAAUUCUAAGUCAGGUUGCCUGAGCUCAGUGUCACUCUUGGCUGAGUAAGUCAGAAGUGAAACAGUCCCACCCUCCCUGCUCCACAAGGGCUGCUCAGCCCUAACCCCGUGUCACCCACCCGCUCUGUGCUGGCACAGUUGUUGUGCAGCUGUGAGCUGAACAGGCCCAGGGAACUCAGAUGGCUGGGGAGAGCAAAUGUUUCAGGGGCCAAGCUCCUUUUUAAUUUGGAUCAGUUUCCUGAUCUGGCUCAUUUUGUGGUUGUCCAAAUGCUUGCACUGAUCUUGUGCAGAGGCAGGACUGAGGUAGGAGGAAGGGUGAAACUUAUCUUUUUGAUUGUGUUGUUGACUUCUGUCAGUUUAAGGUGGUUAUGAAACUUUGUGAGAGACUAAGAGAGCUUUUUUUUUUUUUUUUUUUGACCAAGGAAAAAUACUUAAUUUUGAGUGUAACUGCAAAGAUGUUUGUAGAACUGCACUAACCAUAUGCACAGGGCUCACCGGUGAAUAACAAAAGACAAAGAGAAUGAGUGACUGUACUGAGAAAUUCAGUGAACUGAUGUGAUCACUGCAUAUUAGAAAAGGCAGCUGUUUGACAUUGCACUACAUGGUAAAAAGAAAAAAAUGUGUUGCUCUUCUGCUGCUCAUAAACCAACCAGAGGCCAAAGAAUUGCAAGGAUCCCACCAAAAAUUAUUAAUUAACUCUUCAAAAGACAGAGUUAUUCUCAGUUGGCUUAAAAGAAGCCGAUAGCUCAGUGCUAGGUAUGCCUGCAUUCCCAUGGAUUUUUUCCUUUCCCAUGUUCUCCAGAGUCUUCCUUUGCUCUUUGCUUAAGGCGUGGAAGAAAGUGAACUUUGGAGAGUAAGUAAAUCAGAUUUAAUUAGUCAUCACAAGGCAAUGGGCUCUUAGUGAAUUCUCAAUGGCAGACAGCUCUGAGAAUGAAUGUAUGUGUGUUACAUUAGUUUGCACUUUGAGGAGGAAAUUACCUUGCAGGUUUCAGACAACCUGGCAGUCCCACAAAGUGUUGGAAAAGGUUGCCCACAUGACAAAAGCUUUUAGACCAAUUUUAAAUGCCACUAUUUUCUUGCUUCACCCAAAAUUGUCAAAAUUUUGACAAACAGGUUUGAGCAGCUUUUAAAUAAAAACCCUCCACAUUUCAUAAAAAGUUACACAAAUCACAUUCAUAAAUCCUCUGUAUAAGUAAUUUUUUUUUUAAUUAAGCUAAACACUUGAAAGUUGCAACCAGUCCAAACUAGCAUUACUAGUAUAAUCUUAGUUAAGCACUCAGUUUGAGUGCAUCCUGGUACCUGUCUUUAACUGAGUGAUCAUUUAUGUUUCUUCCUAAAGACCCUCUCUUAUUCAGUGAACAGAACAAAUAGUGGCCAAAUAAUGG
rnacentral:lncRNA from 1 species